UAGCUGACUCCAGACUACUGGCUGCAGCAACACAGAUAGCCCACAACUCUGAUGUUACUGAAUGUGAUGCUCUAUUAUAUAGUUUGUCAAUUCUAGAAAUAGUUUUUUGCCAUUCACCAUAUCUUGCAUUCUCAGGACUACAAGAGUGCAUGUGAAGCGAUUGUUUGAUGGAAUUGUUGGACCUAGAAUACUGAAUUUGAGGAUGCUCCAAGGUGGUGUUGGCCUGAGUUUACUUCAGUUCUGCAACCUAAACUGCUUUAGGACCAAUGGGGUUCGCUUUCUUCAUGGGCUUAUCAGUUCCUUAGUACUUCAAUGAGUACAGCUGUUGCAAGUUAUGGUCCAGUGCACACUGGCGCCAGAUGGAGGUUUUGGUGGAAGAAAUGCAUGACUUGGACAAGUGAAGUGUGGUCAUGUUUUUU